ensembl:lncRNA
GACAGGAUUUCUCAGUAGCUAUGGAGCUAGUCCUGGAACUCCCGCUGUAGACCAGGCUGGCCUCAAAGUUGAGAUCCGACUGCCUCUACCUCCCAAGUAUUGGGAUUAAAGCAUGUGCCACUACUGCCCAGAUCCUUUUUGAUCCCUUGUGGUGGCCAUCAAUCAGUCCAGGGUAGGCAUAUGGAGGUACAUAGGGACACCUAGAGGAUUUUGGAUUCUUGGCACUCUGACUCAGGGAUGACCAGAUAGUCUUCCAUCUUACUCAUUUGACAAGAGUGCUUUCCAGUGAAAUCCUACCACAGAACAGUGCUGCGUCCAUCAGAAUCCACUCUGGUUUUACAGCUAUGUAAUCUUUAAGUAGAGUUGCAUGGAGAGCUAGAAGCUGUUGUUGAAGAUGAACACACUGUCUUCUUCACACAGCCUUCCCUAAGCCCCAUCUUGGCUUGCCAUGUCCCAUUUGCCAGUUAGGGCCCUUCCCAUGCCCAUGUUUACACAAGGCCCAGCCCCUCGGCUGCUUCAGUAUUGCUCAGGUCAGAACUGUCUCAGGGAUACUUGCAAGGCCGUGACCCAAGUCAGAGCAGCCAGCUUGGGAUUCUCCUGUUCUCUAAGAGGGUAUUUUAGACACUGCUUCUACAGACCUGGUUUUUGCAUCACAGAAGGACCUGGUUGCUGGACACAUUCCUCCAGGGAACAUUUUGACAUGAAAAGCUAUUAAUUUAUCUAGGUGUGUGUGUGUUUGUGAGUCAGAGGAUGACCUGGAGGUCAGUUUGUUCUCUCCUUUGGUCAUGUGGGUCCCGACACCUGGUGGGAGACACCUUUACUCAUGGAGCCAUCUUGCCAGCACUGCAUUUUGUCAUUUUGAGAUGAAAGGUUUGUGGAGGCCUUCCUCACCCAGGAAGGUGAGCUACAUCUUCCCUUAGUGAGGCUACAAAGGUCUGUCUGGUCCCCGUGUACAUGGGCCAUUUGUUGGCCAGCACGGAAGGAAAAGAAAUUUUUUUUUCCUCAACCUGUGUUUUCCCUGCUCUUGUAAUCUUUCUCCCUUCAGAUUAAAAGUGCCUCUUUCUCUUAACUCCUUGGUUACACUGUUUGUUACUGGUUCUAGUACCUAGUUGUCCACCCUCCCCAAAGUACUGGAAUGGUAUUAUUAACAUAGCGGAGUCAGGCAAAUAUAGCUGUUAAGAUGUUUGCCCAGGGUACAUGAAGUUCUGGGUUCAAUCCAAGCACCACAUUAACUGGGCAUGGCAUACAUACCUGUAAUCCCAGCACUCAGGUAAAGGAAGGAAGAUGAUGUUCAAGGCCAAACUUGGCUAAGAGCUAAAGGUCAGCUUUUAAUACAUGGGAUCCUAUUUUUAAAAAUAAAUUAAUUAAAAUUACCAUGGAGCAUGGUGGCAUAGGUCUUUAGUCCCAGCACUCGGGAGGCAGAGGAUCUCUGUGAGUUCAAGGCCAGCCUGGUCUACAGAGUUAGUUCCAGGACAUCCAGAGCUGUUAUACAGAGGAACCCAGUCUCGGAAAAAACAAAAAGCCAAAAACAAAAAUUAUCGUUAAGCGUUUGACUCAGGCAGCAAUCACUUCCAGUGUGCUUGUCAGCUCUGACCGCAAUUGUCGGACUUGCUCAACUCAUUAUUGUGAAUUGUUUUGGCUCCUUUCCCAUCCUGCUGUCUACUUUGUGCCCAAUCUGUUUUUUAUGGGAAGUGACAAAAGUCUACAAACUGCUUUCAGUCAGAAGCAAUGUCUGGAGCAAUCACCCUGGAGGUGACAAUAAAAUGAGAUUUUUAUGGUAUCCGG